CGUGCCCGUGCGCGCGCGCUCUGAGAAAAGCAGCUCAUCAUCUCAGAAGGACUGCGGACAGAGACAGACGCACAUAGAAACAGACAGAGAGAGAAAGAGAGACAGGUAGAAGCUUCAGAAUAAAUCAAUGCCGAAAUAAGACGUCCUGAAAGCGGGAUCGCUGUUUAUCCGGGGAGAGCUCGAGCAGGUGCCGGUCAGUCGCCAUGGGGAACCGGGGGAUGGAGGAUCUGAUUCCUCUGGUCAACCGAAUGCAGGAUGCGUUCUCCGCCAUCGGACAGAACGCGAACCUGGACCUGCCGCAGAUCGCGGUGGUGGGCGGACAGAGCGCCGGUAAAAGCUCCGUGCUCGAGAACUUCGUGGGGAAGGACUUCCUCCCGCGCGGCUCUGGCAUCGUCACCCGCCGUCCUCUCGUUCUGCAGCUCAUCAACUGCCCCACAGAAUACGCUGAGUUCCUUCACUGUAAGGGGAAGAAGUUCACGGAUUUCGAUGAGGUGCGUCAGGAGAUCGAGGCGGAGACGGAUCGUGUCACGGGCCAGAAUAAAGGCAUUUCGCCCGUGCCGAUCAACCUGCGCGUCUAUUCGCCAAACGUGUUGAACCUGACUCUGGUUGAUCUGCCGGGAAUGACUAAAGUGCCGGUGGGAGAUCAGCCUGCAGACAUCGAGCAGCAGAUCAGGGACAUGCUGAUGCAGUUUGUGACUAAAGACAACUGCCUACUGCUGGCCGUGUCGCCCGCCAACUCCGAUCUCGCCAACUCUGACGCCCUGAAGAUCGCCAAAGAAGUCGACCCGCAGGGUCAGAGGACUAUUGGUGUGAUCACUAAACUUGAUCUAAUGGAUGAAGGCACCGACGCUCGGGACAUCCUGGAAAACAAGCUGCUGCCGCUGCGGCGAGGUUACAUCGGUGUGGUGAACCGCAGUCAGAAAGACAUUGACGGAAAGAAGGAUAUUAAUGCCGCUAUGGCUGCGGAGAGGAAAUUUUUCCUGUCUCAUCCCAGUUACAGACACCUGGCUGACCGCAUGGGAACGCCAUUCCUGCAGAAAACCCUCAACCAGCAACUGACCAAUCACAUCCGUGACACGCUGCCUGGGCUGCGCGCUAAACUGCAGAGCCAGUUGCUGUCCAUCGAGAAAGAAGUGGACGAAUACAAGAACUUCCGUCCAGAUGACCCGUCCCGGAAGACCAAGGCCCUGCUGCAGAUGGUGCAGCAGUUCUCAGUGGAUUUUGAGAAGCGUAUCGAGGGAUCUGGAGAUCAGAUAGACACGUAUGAGCUGUCUGGAGGAGCCAGAAUAAAUCGCAUCUUCCACGAGCGUUUCCCCUUCGAGCUGGUGAAGAUGGAGUUUGACGAGAAGGAGCUGCGCAAGGAGAUCAGCUACGCCAUCAAGAACAUUCACGGCAUCAGAACUGGGCUCUUCACACCGGACAUGGCUUUUGAGACCAUUGUGAAAAGGCAGAUCUUGAAGACUAAAGAGCCGUGCCAGAAAUGUGUGGACAUGGUCAUUUCUGAGCUAGUCAAUACCGUUAGGCAAUGUACCAAGAAGCUGGCCCAGUAUCCCAUGCUGAGAGAGGAGAUGGAGCGGAUCGUCACUCAGCACAUCCGUGACCGCGAGAGCCGCACUAAAGAUCAGGUGCUGCUGUUGAUUGACAUCGAGCUGGCGUAUAUGAACACCAACCAUGAAGACUUCAUCGGAUUUGCCAAUGCUCAACAGAGAAGCAGUCAGAUGAGCAAGAAGAAAGCGGCUGGUAAUCAGGAUGAAAUUAUGGUGAUCAGGAAGGGCUGGCUGACCAUCAAUAACAUCGGCAUCAUGAAGGGCGGCGCUAAGGAGUACUGGUUUGUCCUGACGGCCGAAUCACUGUCCUGGUACAAGGAUGACGAGGAGAAAGAGAAGAAGUACAUGCUGCAGGUGGACAAUCUGAAGCUCAGAGAUGUAGAGAAGGGCUUCAUGUCCAGCAAACACAUCUUUGCCCUGUUCAACACCGAGCAAAGGAACGUGUAUAAGGACUACCGCCAGCUGGAGUUGGCCUGUGAGAGUCAGGAGGACGUGGACGGGUGGAAGGCGUCGUUCCUGCGUGCCGGCGUUUACCCUGAGCGUGUGGUGGAGAAGGAAAAGGUACAAGCUUUCAGUAGACUUUGUAUUUUUUCUGUAUCUCUUGCAUUUGCAUUUCAGUUUUUCCCAGAGCUCUGUGUGAUUGUGUCUGUAGAGCGACGCCGGUGAAGAGAACGGUUCGGACGGUUUCAUGCACUCCAUGGACCCUCAGCUGGAGCGGCAGGUGGAGACCAUCCGAAACCUGGUGGACUCCUACAUGGGCAUCGUCAACAAGACUGUACGAGACCUGAUGCCCAAGACCAUCAUGCAUCUGAUGAUUAACAAUACGAAGGAUUUCAUCAACGCGGAGCUGUUGGCUCAGCUGUACUCGUGUGGAGAUCAGAACACUCUGAUGGAGGAGUCGGCCGAACAGGCGCAGCGCCGUGACGAGAUGCUGCGCAUGUACCAUGCUCUCAAAGAAGCGCUCCACAUCAUCGGUGACAUCAGCACCACCACCGUCACCACGGCUCUGCCUCCGCCCGUGGACGACUCCUGGCUGCAGGUGCAGCGCUCCGGAUCCGGAGGAAGGUCUCCGGCCACCAGCCCAACCCCUCAGAGACGGGCCCCUCCUCCAGGGCCUCCGGCACGCCCAGGUUCUCGUGGGUCGGCCCCGGUGCCCCCUGCUGCCGGUGGGCCACCCAUUCCCUCUCGCCCGGGAGCCUCUCCGGACCCCUUCGGCGGGCCCCCGCCUCAGGUCCCGUCCCGGCCUAACCGUGCACCGCCCGGCGUGCCCAGCCGCGGAAUGUGAGACUCGAACCGGUGGAAUAAGUGCGGUGGUGUGGAAUUACAAUCAGUGACCAAUGAGGACUAACGCUUCUGUGGUCCCUGAGCUCACGGGCCAGAAGACGACACCAAACUCCCCGAAGGUCGGUCAAGAGCAGCCCCGAAGGUCCCCUUCUCUCCACGUGACCCUUAGCACCUUCUUCUUUCCUGCUUUCUUCUUCUUCUCAGUUUUUCCCCACAUUGAGUAAAUCAACCCCAAACCCACCAGCACAGCCACGAACAUGAGCAAAAGACAAGACGAAGAUGUUUCCUGCAUCCUCGGCUCAUCGUCUGGUUGAGCGUUUGAGAGAUGAGUUCAGUCUUCUUGGAGAAACUCCUCACAUUGUGACCCAUGUUAAGAAGGCGGCCUUUCCUGGAACAAAUCAUUCAAAUGACUUCUCAUGUAGUAUUCAAAAGCCAUUUAUUCCCACACUGCAAAAAAAAAUCAAUGUCCCAAUCAGUAUUUUUGUCUCAUUUUCGAGUAAAAAGAUGUUUAUGGACUGGAAAACCAGACAAAAGCACUAAUUAAUGGAGUUUUUCACAGUGCAAACGUUGUUGUGACGAUGUUAAGCUUUCAGGUACGAGGACGUGUGUUCACCCUUCAUCAUCGUGCACAGAAAUCAUUCAUUCGCUUAGUGAAAUCUGAACCUUUAGUGGGGCUGGAUUCAAUUCGAGAGUGCAAUAUAAUCGGCAGGCAGCCGUAUCUACAUGCAUGUCAUUAAAAACAUAGUAGAGCAGUUUUAGGGUGAACAGCCGUUCGCUGAGACGCUUGUGUUUACAAAACCUGUUUAAUUCAUUUCAUAAAGAAGUAGAGACUGUAAUGCUACGAAUUCAGGUUGGCUGUGUCUCUAUAAAUGUCGGGAAGGUUUUCCACACACAGACUGUUUGGAAUUGAAUACUUGCUUACUGUACAUACUUGCUGUGCAGUAUAUACUGCUUACUAUUUUUAACAAAUAGCAUGUGAAAGUGCACUAUUCAAUGCUAAACAGUAGUUUAUCAACUGACUGCAUGUUUAAUUCAGCAAGUUGUGUCCAGAAAGUUAUUUUUGCAUUUUUCAUGGCUGAUCAAACAAGUCAUGAAGGAUGUUAAAAAUCUGCAUAUGGAACAUUUGCAUACUGCGCAUACAUACUACAUACUGCAGAAAUAGUAUGAUGUUGUGAACAUAGCCACAUAUGAUUAAAGGUGCUGUGAGCAAUUUUUUAUUUCAGUCACAUGACGUCCUUCUCAAAGACAUAUCGACCAACCCACAAGUUGAAUGACAGAGAUUCUCAUUGGCUAAAAAAUCGACUGUCCCAAUAUAUGAACUGUGCAUUGAAAUUAUGCACAUUUAUUCUCGUGUCUGAUUUUCUUGGUUCAUUAUGAAAAAAAAAAAAUGAAAAGUCAAAUGCUGGUCUAUGCAUAGAAAUCAUCACAGUUUGUUUAGAUGUUGUUUGUUUGGUUGAAAAUGAGAAAAUAUGAGCGCAACCCUCCACACCAGUGGACUGUAAUUCGUAAUUUUGUGGUUUGUUGUAAUAAUAAUAAUAAUAAUAAUAUUAAUAAAGUCCUGUUGCUAAUAGUUCACGCUGUGUUGCGUGAUCAGACCGUCUGCGGUUUCAACAGUGCCGUAUCAGUUGUAUCUUUCUGUCUUCAUCAUUCACACCAAACCUUCCCCGAAUCCACUCCGAGUCUUAGUAAAACCCACUAACGAGAAAAGAAUUACUGUUAUUUAAGAGUUCAAAUGUUUGUCAUGGGCAUACUGUAUCUUAAGUGCGUUGCGUAUCUUUGUGGUGCAUUUAUGCAAAUUGUGCUUCCACUGUUUAGAGACUAGUGUAGUCCACAUGUAUGAUUAUUGAAUAUUAAAUUAUUAUGGAUAAGUGAUUUCUUUAAAUUAAGCUUAUGAUCAUGUGCAAAGUGAGAAGUGGAGUGUCUAGAGGAAUAAACCGGGCCUCUUUCUGCGUUUGGACAGAAAGGUGAAUCAAUAUUGAGUGUGUAACGUGUGAAUGAAUGGAUGAAUGAAUGUGUGUAACGUGUCCUCUGCUUGUCAAGCGGGGCUUUGUCGUCAUUAAAGUUCAGUGUACCAAAA